GUUUCUAUAUUGUAUCAAAGCAAAAUCUAACCAGAGAGACCAGACUCACCUGUACCCAGCUGUGUGUCCAUGAAGAGGGAACCUAUAGAGAGAACCUAUAGAGAUUAGACAGGGACCAUUCACUCCUAAAAAUAGGGAUCAAUCCAACUCCCCUGUACCUAGCUGUGUGUCCAUGAAGAGUAACCAGUCCAUUAGAGAACCUAUAGAAUUCAGAGAAGGACCUUUUCAAACUAACCAAAGGGUCCAGCAGGAGAGACCAGACUCCCCUGUACCCAGUGGUAUAUCCAUGAAGAGUGACCAGUCAAAGAGAGAGCCUGUAGAAUUCCGGACUGGAGGCUUUCCUCCAAAACAAGAGUAAAAAGUCUUGUUGUCAUUUUAAGAAAUCUGAGUGCGAUUUCCAGAUAUAAAAAAGCUUAGCGACGGUACUUGCCUUGUUCCUUCCUACACAGAGUACCCAGAGACCAAUAUGAGAAGUCAGAGUCAUAAAUUUCAAAUGGUCAGUCUGCCCCAAGUCAUGAAAUGGACCUGUUCUCCAUA